rnacentral:rRNA from 1 species
AUUGAACGCUGGCGGCAGGCCUAACACAUGCAAGUCGAGCGGAGCGGCGGACGGGUGAGUAAUGUCUGGGAAUCUGCCUGGUAGUGGGGGAUAACGUCCGGAAACGGGCGCUAAUACCGCAUACUAUCAGAUGAGCCUAGGUCGGAUUAGCUAGUUGGUGGGGUAAAGGCCUACCAAGGCGACGAUCCGUAACUGGUCUGAGAGGAUGAUCAGGCACACUGGAACUGAGACACGGUCCAGACUCCUACGGGCGGCAGCAGUGGGGAAUAUUGCACAAUGGGCGCAAGCCUGAUGCAGCCAUGCCGCGUGUGUGAAGAAGGCCUUCGGGUUGUAAAGCACUUUCAGCGGGGAGGCGUUACCCGCAGAAGAAGCACCGGCUAACUCCGUGCCAGCAGCCGCGGUAAUAC